CCCUUAGAUGUUCUGGGCCGCGCGCGUGCUACACUGAACGGUUCAAUGGGUAAGGUAGUGCGAAAGCAUGACCUAAUCUCGAAAUCCGUUCGUGCUGGGGAUAGAAGCUUGCAAUUAUCCUUCUUGAACGAGGAAUACCUUGUAAGCGUGAGUCAUCAUCUCACGCUGAAUACGUCCCUGCCCUUUGUACACACCGCCCGUCGCUCCUACCGAUUGAGUGUUCCGGUGAGGCUUUGGGAGAAUGGCCUCAACAUGAGUUUAUCGUGUUUUGCCGUUUGAACUUAGUCAAACCUUAUCACUUAGAGGAAGGAGAAGUCGUAACA
rnacentral:rRNA from 1 species